rnacentral:rRNA from 1 species
AUUGAACGCUGGCGGCAGGCCUAACACAUGCAAGUCGAACGAGUGGCGGACGGGUGAGUAAUGUCUGGGAAACUGCCUGAUGGAGGGGGAUAACUACUGGAAACGGUAGCUAAUACCGCAUACCCUCGGAUGUGCCCAGAUGGGAUUAGCUAGUAGGUGGGGUAAAGGCUCACCUAGGCGACGAUCCCUAGCUGGUCUGAGAGGAUGACCAGCAAAACUGGAACUGAGACAAGGUCCAGACUCCUACGGGAGGCAGCAGUGGGGAAGAUUGGACAAUGGGCGAAAGCCUGAUCCAGCCAUGCCGCGUGUGUGAAGAAGGUCUUCGGAUUGUAAAGCACUUUAAGGUGGGAGGCGUUACCAACAGAAGAAGCACCGGCUAACUCCGUGCCAGCAGCCGCGGUAAUAC